rnacentral:rRNA from 1 species
AACGAACGCUGGCGGCAGGCCUAACACAUGCAAGUCGAACGAUAAGCCACCUUCGGGUGGUGGACAGUGGCAGACGGGUGAGUAACGCGUGGGAACGUGCCUUUCGGUUCGGGAUAACCCAGGGAAACUUGGGCUAAUACCGGAUACGCCCUUCGGGGGAAAGAUUCAUUGCCGCAAAGAUCGGCCCGCGGCGGAUUAGCUAGUUGGGGGGGUAAUGGCCUACCAAGGCGACGAUCCGUAGCUGGUCUGAGAGGAUGACCAGCCACACUGGGACUGAGACACGGCCCAGACUCCUACGGGAGGCAGCAGUGGGGAAUAUUGGACAAUGGGCGAAAGCCUGAUCCAGCCAUGCCGCGUGGGUGAAGAAGGCCUUAGGGUUGUAAACCCCUUUCAGCGGGGACGAUAAUGACGGUACCCGCAGAAGAAGUCCCGGCUAACUCCGUGCCAGCCGCCGCCGUAA